UUCAGCCAAGAGCUUCCUGAAGAAACUCGCGAAUUCGCACGAACCACCCAAUUCCGGUAAACCGCUGAAGCUUAGCGCUUCAUGCCGCGGCCGUGAGAAAUGGUUCCGGUGCAAGCGACCAUGAGCUCGAGAAUUCAAAGAAUGUGCGACGACGGAUUGUUGGAUCGGUGAGGAGAUUCAAUGUCGAAUCGAGUUGCGGAAUCGAGAACCUACAGUCAAUACUCUUGCACGUGGUGUCGGAGAGAGACGAAUCGGGGACGAAUCGAUGAUUGAGAGCGAAGAACUUACCGUAGCGAGGUUCUCGGCGAUUACAGGUUGUGUAAUGGAGGUCGAAUGUGUCGAAGAUUGGUUGCCGGAUUUUGAUGGUUGAAGCUAUAUGGUUAGAAGGGUCAUACAGAUGCAGAUGGAAGCAGUUGAGGGAGGUUCUAUCCGUUAGAGUUGUCUCAGUUUUUGUGGUAGGUUAGGUUCUGCAGCGAUGUCGAGUUGGAGAGUGAAGAAAGAUUGGUUGUAGGAUGGAAGAUGAUGGAGGAUUGAAGGGUUAGAAUGGAAGGUUCGAGGAAGCUUGAAGAUGGUUCUUGAAGGAGGUUGUGGGGUUUUCUGUUAGAAGUUGGUUAAAGGUUUGCUUAGGUUGGAGGAAUGUACAGAAGGUUGUGUAGGGGAUGUAUGGAGGUUCGUGUGAAUGGAAGGUUGCAGGUUUGGUUAGGGUGAAGAAGAAUUGGUUGAAUGGUGAUGGAGGUGGUGAAGAAUGGUGAGGAAAGUGAGAGAGGUUGAAGGUGGCAACCGACCUUUAACAAAAUCAUCAAGGAAGUUUGCAGCAGUGGUUAUUGAAGAAGGUUUGAGGGUUACGAUUCUGUUAUCGGUUGGUGUUGGUUAGAAUGGUGGUAAGGAUCUCUUGGAUGGUUAUCCUUUGAUUCCAUUAUCGUGAUGCCCUCUUCAAAGCUACAAUGGAGGUGAAUUUCCUCGUACAUUGUCUUCAUUACCAGGAUUUGAUGAAUGAAGUUGCCCCACAGUGAUUCUAUGUGGUGCGGUGUUACGGCGAACUGUUGCACAAUUAGAGUCAGUCGCUUCGAGCAGCAUUGUAUGGUCGACUCAGUAAAGGUCACAGUGGAAUAAGAUUGGAGCUAAGAUACAAUGCAUCAGUUUUAGAUUGAUUGAAACACAAUGCGAUUCAGGAUGCUUGGAUUACUGGUUUGAAUAUGUGGGCCAUAGUUGGUGAAGUGUGUCCUUUGGUCUUGGCCAUUUAUAGGCGUGGGUUUGGUUGGCUUUAGUUAGUUAGAGUUGUUUUCUAAUUUAAAUAAAAUGAACAUUAACAGUGGAAGGUAAAUUCAAGUGACUGCAAAUGCAAUUACACCAUUGUUGUGCUUAUUAAUGGAAAUUCUUUGAAAUGAUGUAUGGUUGUAAUUGAAUUAAAAUGGAGAAUGAAAUGUAUGUGAGAAUUGAUCCCUGUAAUGUGAAAACAUAUAUACUCUUAGUUUGAAAUGAAUUGAAAUUAGAAUGUAA